AAAAUACAUAUCUUCUUUUUCGUUUUUUCUCCUCCAUCUCUCUAGCCUUCUACCUUCCGCUUAUGUCUUUGUUGCCGCUCCGGUGGCUUUCUUAAAACACCAGAACCGGUUUGCUCUUUUCUAUAAUUUGUUUUAUCUUAUUCUUAUGAUCUUAUCUCGAUGUACAAAAAAAAUUGUCUUUCGCAAGAACUUGGGUGAAUAAAAAAACUGGGAAAGCUUCGUGCUUGUGUGAAAAAGCUUUAGUGUCAUUGAUGUGUGUUAGGUGAUGACAUACUUGGUGAAGUACUUACGGAAAAUUUGGAAGACUGAAAUCUAAGUUCUAUGAUCAAAAGGGUAAGGACAAAAACAUGUCCAUGAGGAAUGACAAAAUUUGGAAUAUGAAUUGAUGGAGGCAUAACAAGAAGGAUGUCUAUGACAAAACCACCACGUCUUGACUCAACCAUUUAUGAAUAUUGGAAGGUAUGUUUGCAAGAUUUUAUCAUCUGUCUUGAUGAGAAUUGUUGAAAUUAUGUUGAGGUUGGUUGGCGUCAUCCGGUGAUAAUUGAUGAUAAGAAAGUGCUUAAGCUAAGAGAUCAAUGGAGCACAUCAAAGAAUAAAGCAUCAAGUGGCAAUUAUAAGACCAAGACUGCAAUUUAUAAUGCUAUCGAUGCAAGCUACUUUAGUGUAUUUCUCAAUGUGCAUAAGCUCAGAAGACAUUGAAGAUAUUGGAGAACAUGUUUGAAAGUACUACAAAUGUCAAACGAGUUAAGUUAGAUAUGAUAGUAUCUAAAUUAGAUAAUCUAAGUAUAGACGUAAAGAAAAUGUGGCUCAGUUUAAUGCUAAGUUGUGUGACAUAUCUAAUGAAUGUUUCGCGCUUGGAAAGCAGUACAAGGACAACUAAGUUGGUGAAGAAGCUGGAGAGAUUGUUUCCAUCAAAGCUUGAUUCAAAACUGCUUUUUAGUUGAGCAAGUCAUAUGGAGAUACUGAUAAGACGAAAAAAAACAUAUGGAAUCGCUUCACAAGAUUCAUCUUCUGAAGUUCAUAUGGUAAUGUUGUCAAGAAAUUUUGCUAAGUACCUGAAGCAAAAGGAAAGAAAGAAGGAGAAUGGAAGAGGAGGUGACUUGGGUAGUUCAUGAUCAAAGAUACAAUGCUUUGAGUGCAAUGGAUUUAGACAUAUUUGCUGUGAAUUUGUGAAUUUACAAAAGCAAAUGUAGAAGAGAAACGUCAAGAAUGAUUAUGGAAGUGAUUCAGAUGAUGGUGAGGAGCUAAAGAAUUUUGUGGCGUUCACAACUUUGGAGCCGAUUUCUCCAAAAACAUUUGUGUCGGGAUCUGCAUCUGAAAUGAUGAUAAUAUGGAUGGGAGUAUUGAUGAUGUUAAGUUUUCUGAGAAUUAUGAAAGA